rnacentral:misc_RNA from 1 species
GGCGCUGGGCUCCAUGGUGGGCCUCAUGACCUACGGGCGGCGCCAAUUCCAGUCCCUGGACACGACGAUGCGGCGCCUGAUCCCGCCCUUCCGCGAGGCUUCGGCCAAGCUAACCACGCUGGUGGAUGCCGACGCCGAGGCCUUCACCGCCUACCUG